rnacentral:rRNA from 1 species
CGGCGAACGGGUGAGUAACACGUGAGUAACCUGCCCCAGGCUUUGGGAUAACCCUCGGAAACGGGGCUAAUACCGGAUAUUCACUUCUCGUGGCAUCACGGGUUGUGGAAAGUUUUUCGGCUUGGGAUGGGCUCGCGGCCUAUCAGCUUGUUGGUGGGGUGAUGGCCUACCAAGGCGACGACGGGUAGCCGGCCUGAGAGGGCGACCGGCCACACUGGGACUGAGACACGGCCCAG